rnacentral:lncRNA from 1 species
GCGCAAAUCUCGGGCGACAGGCUUUGCGAGACUUGUACCGCCCGUGUAGCCGAGUUUGGGUCAUUCUUUCAGGUUUUUUUUGUUUGUCCGCGCAUCUGAGAAGUGGGUGUAGAGCAUGGUAAAGAUGGAAGAACUCUUUGUUGUUGUUGUUGUUAUCUGAGCUGGAGCUGCAGCAAUGAUGGAUCCUUUAACCCACUGCAUCUGGCCAGGGAUCAAACCCAUGCCUCUGCAGCAACCCAAGCUGCCACAGUCAGCUUCACCUGCCACAUCACAGCGGGAACUCUAGGGUGGAAGGAUUUUUUUUCUUUUCUUUUUAGGGCUGCACCUGCAGCAUAUGUAAGUUACCAGGCCAGGGGUCUAAUCAGAGCUAAGCUGCCCGUCUACACUGAUGCCUAUGCAGCAACAUGGAUUCGCGCCUCAUCUGCAACCUAUACCACAGCUCUCACUGAGCGAGACCAGGAAUUGAACCCACGUCCUCAUGGAUAUUAGUCAGGUUCUUAAUCUGAAGAACCACAACAGGACCUCUGUGGGGUGAGAGAAUUCUUUCUGUCCCUAUUUUAUAGGUCUUCUCCCUCUUCUGUGUGCAAAGCACCAGUAAUAAGCCACUGUCAUCACCCUGGUGACCUGGGGUUCCUUUGCCAUGCCUCCUGAAGCUGUCAGCCCUUGGACCAUGUGCAAGGAAAAUCAAAAUGGAGUGGGCAUUAGUAAGAGAGCUCUCCAAAAUGGAGCCAGGAGGCCACUGGGACAAGGACGUGAUGAUAAACCAGUCUCAGUCCGGGCUUCUCUUGGUUCGCUCCAGCCUUGGAUGGGCUUUUCCCCUCACAUCCCAAGAUGACUACCGGAAGUUUCAGCUGCCGGCUCACACCCCAGCCCCAGCCAUGCCACAUCCGAGCUGUGUCUGCAACCUACACCACAGCUCAUAACAACGCUGGAUCCUUUAACCCACUGAGUGAGGCCAGGGAUCGAACCUGCAUCCUCAUGGAUACUAGUCAGAUUCGUUUCCGCUGUGCCACAAUGGGAACUCC